CAGGUCACUCCUACGGGAGGCAGCAGUGGGGAAUUUUGGACAAUGGGCGCAAGCCUGAUCCAGCCAUUCCGCGUGAGUGAAGAAGGCCUUCGGGUUGUAAAGCUCUUUCGCAAGGGAAGAAAACUUAUCUUCGAAUAAAGGAUGAGGCUGACGGUACCUUGAUAAGAAGCACCGGCUAACUACGUGCCAGCAGCCGCGGUAAUACGUAGGGUGCGAGCGUUAAUCGGAAUUACUGGGCGUAAAGCGUGCGCAGGCGGUUUUGUAAGUCAGAUGUGAAAUCCCCGGGCUCAACCUGGGAACUGCGUUUGAAACUACAAGGCUAGAGUGUAGCAGAGGGGGGUAGAAUUCCACGUGUAGCAGUGAAAUGCGUAGAGAUGUGGAGGAAUACCAAUGGCGAAGGCAGCCCCCUGGGUUAACACUGACGCUCAUGCACGAAAGCGUGGGGAGCAAACAGGAUUAGAUACCCUGGUAGUCCACGCCCUAAACGAUGUCUACUAGUUGUUGGGAGAGUAAAAUCUCUUAGUAACGCAGCUAACGCGUGAAGUAGACCGCCUGGGGAGUACGGUCGCAAGAUUAAAACUUAAAGGAAUUGAC
rnacentral:rRNA from 1 species